rnacentral:rRNA from 1 species
AAGAGGGGUUUGCGUCUGAUUAGCUGGUUGGAGGGGUAACGGCCCACCAAGGCGACGAUCAGUAGCCGGUCUGAGAGGAUGAACGGCCACACUGGAACUGAGACACGGUCCAGACUCCUACGGGAGGCAGCAGUGGGGAAUCUUCCGCAAUGGGCGAAAGCCUGACGGAGCAACGCCGCGUGAGUGAUGACGGCCUUCGGGUUGUAAAACUCUGUGAUCCGGGACGAAGGCAGAGGCGAAGAACAACUGCAUUGACGGUACCGGAAAAGCAAGCCACGGCUAACUACGUGCCAGCAGCCGCGGUAAUACGUAGGUGGCAAGCGUUGUCCGGAAUUAUUGGGCGUAAAGCGCGCGCAGGCGGUUCCCAAGUCCCUCUUAAAAGUGCGGGGCUUAACCCCGUGAUGGGAAGGAAACUGGGAGCUGGAGUAUCGGAGAGGAAAGUGGAAUUCCUAGUGUAGCGGUGAAAUGCGUA